rnacentral:other from 1 species
AGACUUCUGCAUCGUUCGAGAAGUUUCAUUGGUUCUUUUCCUUACUCCACUCAUUAAGGGAAUCUAUCGACAGGCGUUUGCAGUCAGGCCGUAAAUCGGAAGACUAAAGGCGUUGCGAGGGUACCCACCUGGACCUUUAAAGGUCACAGAACCGAUGUGCCCGAUGUACGGCGAAAGUGGAAGUCUU